rnacentral:rRNA from 1 species
AUUGAACGCUGGCGGCAGGUCUAACACAUGCAAGUCGAGCGAGCGGCGGACGGGUGAGUAAUGUAUGGUGACUUCCCGAUAGCGGGGGAUAACUACUGGAAACGGUGGCUAAUUCCGCAUACUAUCGGAUAACCCAUAUGGGAUUAGCUAGUAGGUGGGGUAAAGGCUCACCUAGGCGACGAUCUCUAGCUGGUCUGAGAGGAUGAUGAGCAACACUGGGACUGAGACACGGCCCAGACUCGUACGGAGGAAGCAGUGGGGAAUAUUGCAAAAGGGGCGAAAGCCUGAUGCAGCCAGGCGGGGUGGAGGAAGAGGGCCUUAGGGUUGUAAAGUACUUUCAGCGGGGAGGCGUUACCGGAAGAAGAAGCACCGGCUAACUCCGUGCCAGCAGCCGCGGUAAUAC